GUGAGAUCUUCGGAUUGGGGCCGGCGCGUUCAGCAAUGGGCGCGGCGGAUGCUGAAAAGUCGAUCAAACUUGAUCAUUUAGAGGAAGUAAAAGUCGUAACAAGGUUUCCGUAGGUGAACCUGCGGAAGGAUCAUUACCGUCGUGGAGGCAGAGCGCUGCUCUUGCUUCUCGUGUGCACCAGGCCACGGCCGUGUGUGGAGUUGGGAGGUCCGCUCUGGGAGAGGAGAGCGGUUAAAUGGGCUGUUCCCCCACACUUUUGUGGCUUGCGGUCCUGCCUCUCGGGGCCGUGGUCCAUGAUUUUUUCUUUCUUGCUGUUCCUUUCCUGUUUUCUUGGACAAUUUUUAUUCUUGUGGACAACUUCUAACGGUGGACCCCUCGGCUCGUGCAACGAUGAAGAACGCAGCAAGCUGCGAUACCUAGUGUGAAUUGCAGAAUUCCGUGAAUCAUCGAGUCUUUGAACGCAAAUUGCGCCCUCGGUUUGAAGCCGGGGGCACGCCUGUCUGAGCGUCUGGUAUAUUGUCAAGGUGGUCCCCAAAGCUCUGGGCUUUUUAAGUAGGUGGAUUGCGGUGUUUGAGGGGUCGUCGGUUAUGGCUUCUUUCGAGACUGCAGCGGCGUCCCUUGAAGCGUUUUGGGUGGCAGGCGGGUGCUCCGUUUCUGGCGUCUUGCUUGUCGGGAAUCUUGACAGUGAUGAGGCGAGUGGUUACGGAGCAGCUGCUUGUUGCAAUUUGGGCUAUAG
rnacentral:sRNA from 1 species